AUGAAGGAUGUUAGAGCCUGGGAUGCUGAGGCACCACAGCACGAGCUAAUUUGUCCAUUCGAGAACCUGCUUCGGCAAUUUUCUUGGCAGCAUUAAUGACAUCAGAUGUAUUUUUCAAUGGGCCUUUGCCUCUGAAACAACAUAUACAACAUAAUUAGAAAUCCACUUAAUGACGGGAAAGAGACCAACCUACCAUAUCCUUUGUCCAGGAGUCUAGUGUUGUAUUUUAUUUGGCACUGGCCACAUUAGUCGAAUUUUGAAUAUUUUCCUGCUUAACUCCAGUUUCUAUAUUAGUAGUCGUUUUUGGAAAUAUUUUCCCAUAUUUUUAUGUGCAUGUUCACAUUUUAUCUUUUACAUUAAGUUCUAUAUUUCUAAACAAUGGCCAGUUAUAAAAGAUCAUCACAAGAGAAAUGAAAAUUUUAUAGUUGCUUACCGUGUACCAAAAGCUGUUGUACAGACUACCUCAUUCUGACUUUAUAACAACUCUACAAAGUAGGUAUCAUCACUCCCAUUUAGAAAAUAAAAUGAGCCCAAAAUGAUCUAGUAACUUAUCCAAGCUUAUACAGGUCAUAAGUAAAAAAUUCAAAAUUUUAAGCAGACUCUAGCCAAAAUAAAUGCAUAUGCUUUAUCUUCCUACU
ensembl:lncRNA novel transcript